AUAAUAAUAAAUUACGGAUUGCACCCGACAAAACAUUAGAGAAGAAGAAGAAGCUACGUCAUUCGACGCGACACUUUCCACGGUCGGAGCUGAUCCGGAUCACAUACACAGGAGUCACUCAUUGAAGAUGAAUCACAUGGUUAGGCUGGACAGGGAUCUUCGAAUAAUUGAGAGACACCAUGGUGUAAAACGAAGGUGGCUCCUUCGGAUGGCAUUUUCCAGAGAACACUGAGAGAUGUUGACCAGGAACUUAGAGGUCAGCUGAUACGACGAGCACAAAAUGAAGCAAGGGAGAGGGCCACUCUUCUCAACCUGAAAAGAAGAUGUAAUGGUAACACUACUUCUUCUCUUGACUGUAUGGUCAUUAGCAAAAUUGAAGCUCAAAGGUCUUGUGGUAAACCUAAAUUUAAUCUUUAUGUUAUCCCUGCACCAUGCAUAUGUUCACUCUAGGUACUUAAGCGUCUUUAUGCAGUGUAAGAAGUGACUGGUUUAUUCCAACUUGUCCUUUGUCAUGGGUAUGUGCUUUUGAUGUGUAUGGUUAUUUAUCUUUGGUGUAUGAAUAUGUUUCUUGGGUGUAUCCUGUCUUUCACCAAUGCCCGUUGUAAAUAGGCACAGAUAAGUGAGUAUUGUAAUACAUCCAUUUUCUAAUGGACAUUCAAUGAUCUUAUACAUUACGGCAGAUAUUAAGUCUUUCAGAGCGAAGGUGAAACAUUAACAUGUUUAACGUUGAAAAAUUGUCUUAUAGUACUACUUGGUUCUUUGCUGGAAUAAUGACAUGGUGUCUCACUGUCCAAAAUGUUCAAAUCUGUAUGUUCAAGAUAGUGUCUAACAUAUGAUAUAAGUAGUUUUUGGUUUUUAUAGCCAUGGAUCUCCAUUGUGCAACAUCUUCAGGUCUGUGAAAUCAUUCACUUCUGUUUUCAGCAAAAUUGUAAAACAAGCUUUUAUUGGAGAUGUAUUUUGUGUUGUGCUAUCUGUCAUUAAACAUGUUUUUUCAAAAUGUAUUAUGUAUCACUGGGACUGCAAAAAGACACUUCUAAUUUGGUCACAGUUGUGACAUUUGUUUAUCCAAAGCUGUCAAUGUUAGCAUUUCCUGUAGUUUGUCUUAAACAAUUGAUAAAUGUAUAAUGCAUCAAUAAAAGCUUUUGUAUUGAAAAGAUAUUCUGUCAAAUGUGAGUGCUUUACAUAGUAA